rnacentral:rRNA from 1 species
GAUGAACGCUGGCGGCGUGCCUAAUACAUGCAAGUCGAGCGAACAGAUAAGGAGCUUGCUCCUUUGAAGUUAGCGGCGGACGGGUGAGUAACACGUGGGUAACCUACCUAUAAGACUGGGAUAACUUCGGGAAACCGGAGCUAAUCCCGGAUAACAUUUAGAACCGCAUGGUUCUAAAUUGUAAGAUGGUUGUGCUAUCAAUUAUAGAUGUCACCGCGCCGUAUUAGCUAGUUGGUAAGGUAACGGCUUACCAAGGCGACGAUACGUAGCCGACCUGAGAGGGUGAUCGGCCAAACUGGAACUGAGACACGGUCCAGACUCCUACGGGAGGCAGCAGUAGGGAAUCUUCCGCAAUGGGCGAAAGCCUGACGGAGCAACGCCGCGUGAGUGAUGAAGGGUUUCGGCUCGUAAAACUCUGUUAUUAGGGAAGAACAAAUGUGUAAGUAACUGUGCACAUCUUGACGGUACCUAAUCAGAAAGCCACGGCUAACUACGUGCCAGCCGCCGCAGUAA